rnacentral:rRNA from 1 species
UGGGGAAUUUUGGACAAUGGGCGAAAGCCUGAUCCAGCAAUGCCGCGUGUGUGAAGAAGGCCUUCGGGUUGUAAAGCACUUUCGUCCGGAAAGAAAUCCUUGGCUCUAAUACAGUCGGGGGAUGACGGUACCGGAAGAAUAAGCACCGGCUAACUACGUGGCCAGCAGCCGCGGUAAUACGUAGGGUGCAAGCGUUAAUCGGAAUUACUGGGCGUAAAGCGUGCGCAGGCGGUUUGCUAAGACCGAUGUGAAAUCCCCGGGCUCAACCUGGGAACUGCAUUGGUGACUGGCAGGCUAGAGUAUGGCAGAGGGGGGUAGAAUUCCACGUGUAGCAGUGAAAUGCGUAGAGAUGUGGAGGAAUACCGAUGGCGAAGGCAGCCCCCUGGGCAAUACUGACGCUCAUGCACGAAAGCGUGGGGAGCAAACAGGAUUAGAUACCCUGGUAGUCCACGCCCUAAACGAUGUCAACUAGUUGUUGGGGAUUCAUUUCCUUAGUAACGUAGCUAACGCGUGAAGUUGACCGCCUGGGGAGUA